rnacentral:hammerhead_ribozyme from 1 species
GUACUGAUGAUGAGUCCCAAACCAGGACGAAAGAGCUGUCCAGUAC